rnacentral:rRNA from 1 species
AGAGUUUGAUCCUGGCUCAGAUUGAACGCUGGCGGCGUGCUUAACACAUGCAAGUCGAACGAGAAAGGGACUUCGGUCCUGAGUAGAGUGGCGCACGGGUGAGUAACGCGUAGGUAAUCUACCUCUGCAUCUGGGAUAACACUUCGAAAGGGGUGCUAAUACCGGAUACACUUAUGGGUCGCAAGACCCAUAAGGAAAGGAGACCUCUCCUUGGAAGUUUCUGUGUAGAGAUGAGCCUGCGUCCCAUUAGCUAGUUGGCAGGGUAAUGGCCUACCAAGGCGACGAUGGGUAGCGGGUCUGAGAGGAUGAUCCGCCACACUGGAACUGAAACACGGACCAGACUCCUACGGGAGGCAGCAGUGAGGAAUAUUGGACAAUGGGCGCAAGCCUGAUCCAGCGACGCCGCGUGAGUGAUGAAGGCCUUUGGGUCGUAAAGCUCUGUCAGCAGGGAAGAACGGCCGUGCGGUUAAUACCCGUGCGGAUUGACGGUACCUGCAGAGGAAGCACCGGCUAACUCCGUGCCAGCAGCCGCGGUAAUA